AUUGAACGCUGGCGGCAGGCCUAACACAUGCAAGUCGAGCGGAUGAAGGGGGCUUGCUCCUGGAUUCAGCGGCGGACGGGUGAGUAAUGCCUAGGAAUCUGCCUGGUAGUGGGGGAUAACGUCCGGAAACGGGCGCUAAUACCGCAUACGUCCUGAGGGAGAAAGGGGGGGAUCUUCGGACCUCACGCUAUAAGAUGAGCCUAGGUCGGAUUAGCUAGUUGGUGGGGUAAAGGCCUACCAAGGCGACGAUCCGUAACUGGUCUGAGAGGAUGAUCAGUCACACUGGAACUGAGACACGGUCCAGACUCCUACGGGAGGCAGCAGUGGGGAAUACUGGACAAUGGGCGAAAGCCUGAUCCAGCCAUGCCGCGUGUGUGAAGAAGGUCUUCGGAUUGUAAAGCACUUUAAGUUGGGAGGAAGGGCAGUAAGUUAAUACCUUGCUGUUUUGACGUUACCAACAGAAUAAGCACCGGCUAACUUCGUG
rnacentral:rRNA from 1 species